rnacentral:rRNA from 1 species
CAACGCCGCGUGGAGGAUGAAGUCCCUUGGGACGUAAACUCCUUUCGACUGGGAAGGAUAAUGACGGUACCAGUGGAAGAAGCCCCCGGCUAACUUCGUGC